GUUUACGGCCAUACCAGCCUGGGUACGCCCGAUCUCGUCUGAUCUCGGAAGCUAAGCAGGGUUGGGCCUGGUUAGUACUUGGAUGGGAGACCGCCUGGGAAUACCAGGUGCUGUAAGCU
rnacentral:rRNA from 1 species